rnacentral:rRNA from 1 species
GAUCCUGGCUCAGGAUGAACGCUAGCGGCAGGCUUAAUACAUGCAAGUCAAGGGGGUAGCAAUACAACCGGCGCACGGGUGAGUAACGCGUACACAACAUACCAUAUACUGGAGUAUAGCUUUGGGAAACUGAAGGUAAUCCUCCAUAACAUUGCGAGAGGGCAUCUGAUUGCAAUUAAAGUUCCGGCGGUAUAUGAUUGGUGUGCGUUUGAUUAGCUAGUUGGUAGGGUAACGGCCUACCAAGGCGACGAUCAAUAGCUGGCGUGAGAGCGCGACCAGCCACACUGGAACUGAGACACGGUCCAGACUCCUACGGGAGGCAGCAGUAGGGAAUAUUGGACAAUGGGCGAAAGCCUGAUCCAGCCAUGCCGCGUGAUAGAUGAAGGCCCUCUGGGUUGUAAAUAUCUUUUAUCUGGGAAGAAACUCCUCUAUUCUUAGAGGCCUGACGGUACCAGAGGAAUAAGCACCGGCUAACUCCGUG